CCUACGGGGUGCAGCAGUGGGGGAUAUUGGACAAUGGGGGAAACCCUGAUCCAGCGACGCCGCGUGAGUGAAGAAGUAUUUCGGUAUGUAAAGCUCUAUCAGCAGGGAAGAAAGAAAUGACGGUACUUGAGUAAGAAGCCGCGGCUAACUACGUGCCAGCAGCCGCGGUAAUACGUAGGGGGCAAGCGUUAUCCGGAAUUACUGGGUGUAAAGGGAGCGUAGACGGUAAUGCAAGUCUGGAGUGAAAGGCGGGGGGCCAACCCCCGGACUGCUCUGGACACUGGGUAACUGGAGUGCAGGAGAGGUAGGCGGAAUUCCUGGUGUAGCGGUGAAAUGCGUAGAUAUUAGGAGGAACACCAGUGGCGAAGGCGGCCUGCUGGACUGUAACUGACGUUGAGGCUCGAAAGCGUGGGGAGCAAACAGGAUUAGAUACCCUAGUAGUC
rnacentral:rRNA from 1 species